rnacentral:tRNA from 1 species
GGGGUUGUAGCUCAGUGGUAGAGCACUUGCCUAGCACGUGGGAAGCCCUAGGUUUGAUCCUCAGCACCA